AAUAAAAAUAAUUUUUAUAUUAAAAUUGGGGGGUUUUAGUAUAAAAUUUAGAAAAAAUUAUAAAAUUUAUAGUAAAUUAGUAUUGUAAAAGAAAUUUAAAAUAAGUGAAAUAAAAAAUUGUUUAAAAGUAAAUUUUAUUUAUUGUAUCUUGUGUAUCAGAGUUUAUUUAUAAUAAAAUUUGGUUAAAAUAAUUUCUCGAAUUUGAAAGAGAUAAUUAAUUAUAAAAGUUAAUGUUGCAUAAUUAUUUUUAAUAAUUAAUUUGAAAUGAAAUGUUAAUCGUUUUUAAAAAUAUCUAGUUUUUUUAGAAAAAAAUUUAAUUUUAUUUUUUUAAAUAAAAAAAAAAAUUAAUUAAUUAAUUUUUUUUAUUGGAGAAAAUUAUAUUUUAAGGGAUAAGCUUUAAAUUAAAAUAUUUAUAAUUAUAUGUAUAAAAAUAUUAAAACUUUUAAAAUUUAUAUUGUUUAAAAAUUUUAAUUUAUUAUAAAUUAAUUUUAAUAAAUUAAAUAAAAUUUUUUAAUAAUUUAAUUUUUUAUAAAAAAAUGAUUUUUAAUAAUAAAAAAUUAAAUAUAAUGAUAAAAUUAGUAUUUAUUUAAAAUAAAUAAUAUUAAUGAAAAUAUUUAUUAAAUAAUUUAAAAGAAUUCGGCAAAAUUUUAUAUUCACUUGUUUAUCAAAAACAUGUCUUUUUGAUAAUAAUUUAAGGUUUAAUCUGCCCACUGAUAAUUAUUAAAGGGCUGCAGUAUAUUGACUGUACAAAGGUAGCAUAAUCAAUAGUCUUUUAAUUGAUGACUUGUAUGAAAGAUUGGAUGAAAUAUAAACUGUUUCUAGAUUAUUUAAAGAAAUUAAUUUUUUAAUUAAAAAGUUAAAAUAAAUUUAAAAGACGAGAAGACCCUAUAGAGUUUUAUAAAUUAAUUAAUUAAAAUUAUUUAUAAAAUAAUUAAUAAUUAAAAUUAAAUUAAUUUAUUUUGUUGGGGUGAUAAAAAAAUAAAAUAAACUUUUUUUAAUUAUAAUACAUUAAUAAGUGAUUAAUUGAUCCAGAAUUAUUUUGAUUAAAAGAAAAAAUUACCUUAGGGAUAACAGCGUAAUUUUUUUUUUUAGUUCAAAUAAGAAAAAAAGUUUGCGACCUCGAUGUUGGAUUAAGAUAAAAUUUAUAUGCAAAAGUAUAAAAUUUUGAUCUGUUCGAUCAUUAAAAUCUUACAUGAUCUGAGUUCAAACCGGUGUGAGCCAGGUUGGUUUCUAUCUUUAAAAUAAGAAAAUAUUUUAGUACGAAAGGAAUAUUUAUUUAAAUUAAAUUUAUAUUUAUUGAAUAUUAUU
rnacentral:rRNA from 1 species